rnacentral:lncRNA from 1 species
GUAAUAUGAAAAAGUUAUUUAAAUUUCAUUUCACGUUGUCCUUUUGAAUCCUCGCAUUAAUAAAAUCGUUUUCAGUGGAAAUAUCAGCAGCAAGAAAUAGAAAAUACUAACAGCAAGAUUUUUUAAUGCCCAUAAGAAGCAGCUUGGAAAUUGACACUCGGUUGCCAGGCACGUUUUACAGCUUUGCUCUUUACCAUGGACCAGAGAUAAUUUUCCUUAUGGAGAAUUUACAAGUUUCCAGAUGCAUUAUGCUGAAGAUAGCCAGGAUCCAGUACAAGGGUUGGUAUCCCACUACAAAGCAAGGGCCUGCCACAACCAGAUGCAUGUUUCAACGACAUCGAAAGACUCACCUUGGACUCAUCGCUGACUUGUCAACCAGAACUCCAAUAUCUGAGUUUGUCAAGGAUCUCAAAGGACGUGGAGUGCAUUUGUAUUAUCAUAUAAAGCACGU